GGCAACAUUUGCUAUGCUGACGUCAUUGCCACGUCAUUACUGUCAGUCAGACAGAAAUAAAAGAAAAAUGGAUGCCGUUCAGACGUACACGCAUUAUUUGGAACUGAAAAUUACGUAAUUUAUCGACCUGCUGGCUUGUAUUUGUUAUAAAUCAUAAAAAAAUUAUGGAAAACAUCAUGAACAAUAAUGAAACAAACCGAACCUUUAGCUACAAUAAUAAAAUGACCCCAUGACGCCAGUGGAACUACGUGGUUUUCUUUCAUGAUGAUUUGAUGAUACCACAAUGGAAUUAGCCAAGUUUUCGCCGUAUUGGGUGCUAGAUGCCCCUUGGAGUUAAGCCCCAGUGCCACUAUACUACUUUACCAGUUAUGUGUGGGUGUCCUAAGGCACCCCAGAGAUGCAUAGGGCCUUCACAAGCUCACGCCACGCCUUCCUAUCUUCAGCAACCCUUGUGACCUCGCUCCACCAACUCAAACCUGCCACUCGCAGCUCCUUUUCGACGGACCGCUUCCAUGAGUAGACAAGGCACCGACGAUCACGGCUUGCAUCACCUGUACUGCUAUGUAAUAUAGCAUGCUGAGCAGUGCUGCCAUUAUACUGGGAUUAACGUCCUGCCCCUUCCCCGGCUGUGUACAAAUUGGAACUCCAUUUGCAUGCCCCUUUGACUGAGCAACGUGUGUGUGUGCUCGAAACACAUUCACUUGCAACAGAAUGACUCCCAGGCUGACCUGACUCAGCUCCUGUAUGUCUGAUCUACAUCCACAAUGGUUUCAAUGAAAGAGUUAAAAUUCUUCUCCAUGUACAAUCAGUUCCAACGCCUACACUGACUACACCAAAUAUGAUCAUCACUCAACGUGUCUCACAUCAAGAUACUUUUCAAAAGUCAUCGAGAAGAGGAACAUAAUAUCUUUUCCCAUGGUUUCCUGAAUAAUCCUAACUAAAAGUUACUUCUCUAUUCUAUUUUUCCUGCAUGGAGUGGCGCUUAUCCGUCUAAUGGAAACGAAAUGAACAUAUAUGCUCUGGGUUUUUUUGUUUUUGUGCACCUUUUCAAUAUUACUAAUAAAGCAUU
rnacentral:lncRNA from 1 species